rnacentral:snRNA from 1 species
GUGCCACUUGGGCAGCACAUAUACUAAAAUUAGAACGAUACAGAGAAGAUUAGCACGGUCCCUGUGCAAGGAUGACACACAAAUUCGUGAAGCAUUCCAUAUUUUG